rnacentral:rRNA from 2 species
CGCCUCUUGCUAAUUAUGAAUAAGAGGUCCCGCCUGCCCUGUGACUAUGUUUAACGGCCGCGGUAUUCUGACCGUGCAAAGGUAGCACAAUCACUUGUCUUUUAAAUAAAGACCCGUAUGAAUGGCAUCACGAGGGCUUAACUGUCUCCUUCCCUUAGUCAAUGAAAUUGAUCCUCCCGUGCAGAAGCGGGAAUAUAAAUAUAAGACGAGAAGACCCUAUGGAGCUUUAGACUAUUAGCUGAUUUAUGUUAACAAACACAAAUAAAAGAAUGAAACUAAAUAAUAUUCUGCCAAAUGUCUUCGGUUGGGGCGACCACGGGGUAUAAACAAACCCCCGAGAAGAAAAUAUUCCAUGAUCCUAGAACAUCAGUUCUAAGAACCAAAACAUUUGACCUUAAGAUCCGGCAAGACCGAUUAACGAAACGAGUUACCCUAGGGAUAACAGCGCAAUCCUCUUCAAGAGUCCAUAUCGACAAGAGGGUUUACGACCUCGAUGUUGGAUCAGGACAUCCUAAUGGUGCAGCAGCUAUUAAGGGUUCGUUU